GAUGAACGCUAGCUACAGGCUUAACACAUGCAAGUCGAGGGGAAACGACAUCGAAAGCUUGCUUUUGGUGGGCGUCGACCGGCGCACGGGUGAGUAACGCGUAUCCAACCUGCCCAUCACUUGGGAAUAACCUUGCGAAAGUAAGACUAAUACCCAAUGAUAUCCCACGAAGGCAUCGGAAUGGGAUUAAAGAUUUAUCGGUGAUGGAUGGGGAUGCGUCUGAUUAGCUUGUUGGCGGGGUAACGGCCCACCAAGGCAACGAUCAGUAGGGGUUCUGAGAGGAAGGUCCCCCACAUUGGAACUGAGACACGGUCCAAACUCCUACGGGAGGCAGCAGUGAGGAAUAUUGGUCAAUGGGCGAGAGCCUGAACCAGCCAAGUAGCGUGCAGGAAGACGGCCCUAUGGGUUGUAAACUGCUUUUAUAAGGGAAUAAAGUGGGUCACGUGUGACUUUUUGCAUGUACCUUAUGAAUAAGGACCGGCUAAUUCCGUG
rnacentral:rRNA from 1 species